rnacentral:snRNA from 1 species
AGAUGUGAGGGCGAUCUGGCUGCGACAUCUGUCACCCCAUUGAUCGCCAGGGUUGAUUCAGCUGAUCUGGCUGGCUAGGCGGGUGUCCCCUUCCUCCCUCACCGCUCCAUGUGCAUCCCUCCCGAAGCUGCGCGCUCGGUCGAAGAGGACGACCAUCCCGGAUAGAGGAGGACCGUUCUUCGGUCAAGGGUAUACGAGUAGCUGCGCUCCCCUGCUAGAACCUCCAAACAAGCUCUCAAGAAGUCCAAAGUCAAAGUGUAGGCAGGGCCCCACUCCCUCUGAGACUGUGUGUGAAAUCUGUCCUUACAU